CCUACGCGCGGCAGCAGUGAGGAAUAUUGGUCAAUGGGCUUGCGCCUGAACCAGCCAAGUCGCGUGAGGGAUGACUGCCCUAUGGGUUGUAAACUUCUUUUAUAAGGGAAUAAAGUGAUCCACGUGUGGGUUUUUGUAUGUACUAUAUGAAUAAGGAUCGGCUAACUCCGUGCCAGCAGCCGCGGUAAUACGGAGGAUCCGAGCGUUAUCCGGAUUUAUUGGGUUUAAAGGGAGCGUAGAUGGGUUGUUAAGUCAGUUGUGAAAGUUUGCGGCUCAACCGUAAAAUUGAAAUUGAUACUGACAGUCUUGAGUACAGUUGAGGUAGGCGGAAUUCGUGGUGUAGCGGUGAAAUGCUUAGAUAUCACGAAGAACUCCGAUUGCGAAGGCAGCUUACUAAACUGCCACUGACACUGAGGCUCGAAAGUGUGGGUAUCAAACAGGAUUAGAUACCCGGGUAGUC
rnacentral:rRNA from 1 species